rnacentral:rRNA from 1 species
GCCUACGGCCAGAUCGGCUGCAACGUGCCCGAUCUCAUCACGUCUCGGGAAGCUAAGCAGAUUUGAGCCUGGAUAGCGCUCUGAUGGGUGACCGCCGUGCACGCUACAAGGUGAAUAUAGGCA